rnacentral:rRNA from 1 species
GACGAACGCUGGCGGCGUGCUUAACACAUGCAAGUCGAACGGAAAGGCCCUGCUUUUGUGGGGUGCUCGAGUGGCGAACGGGUGAGUAACACGUGAGUAACCUGCCCUUGACUUUGGGAUAACUUCAGGAAACUGGGGCUAAUACCGGAUAGGAGCUCCUGCUGCAUGGUGGGGGUUGGAAAGUUUCGGCGGUUGGGGAUGGACUCGCGGCUUAUCAGCUUGUUGGUGGGGUAGUGGCUUACCAAGGCUUUGACGGGUAGCCGGCCUGAGAGAGUGACCGGCCACAUUGGGACUGAGAUACGGCCCAGACUCCUACGGGAGGCAGCAGUGGGGAAUAUUGCACAAUGGGCGGAAGCCUGAUGCAGCAACGCCGCGUGCGGGAUGACGGCCUUCGGGUUGUAAGCCGCUUUCGCCUGUGACGAAGCGUGAGUGACGGUAAUGGGUAAAGAAGCACCGGCUAACUACGUG